CGCCUCGCCUCCGACACGUCCCCCGGGCGCCACUGCAGAGCCUGUCCGUCAGUCCCUAGGUAUCCGCACUGCUCAGGGCAGCUGAUAGAACCAUGGCGACCAUUGCUGCUGCUGCGUUUGAGGCCCUCAUGGAUGGAGUGACAUGCUGGGAUGUCCCCAGAGGCCCCAUCCCCAGUGAACUCCUUCUUAUUGGAGAAGCCGCCUUCCCCGUGAUGGUGAAUGACAAGGGCCAGGUGCUCAUUGCUGCCUCCUCCUACGGCCGAGGCCGCCUCGUGGUUGUGUCCCAUGAGGGCUACCUGUCGCAUGCUGGCUUGGCUCCGUUUCUCCUCAAUGCAGUGAGCUGGCUCUGUCCCUGUCCUGGGGCUCCCGUGGGAGUGCAUCCAUCCCUGGCACCUCUAGUAAACAUCCUACAGGAUGCUGGGCUUGAGGCACAGGUCAAGCCAGAACCAGGAGAGCCCCUAGGGGUUUACUGUAUCAAUGCCUACAAUGACACCUUGACUGCAACGCUGAUCCAGUUUGUGAAACAUGGAGGGGGCUUGUUAAUCGGGGGCCAGGCCUGGUACUGGGCCAGCCAGCACGGCCCUGACAAGGUGCUCUCCAGGUUCCCUGGGAACAAGGUGACAAGUGUAGCCGGAGUGUACUUCACUGACACCUAUGGGGACAGAGACCGGUUCAAGGUCUCUAAGAAGGUGCCCAAGAUCCCACUCCAUGUCAGGAGGAUUCCCUGGGAGCACCCACCAGCUGAGAUCUGCACAUCAGCCACAAUCCUCUCAGGACGGCGGAAAGGGAAGGGCUCAGCCGCCAGCCUGGCCACAGCCUGCAUCAUCUCAUCCCAGAGGCGGAGCACAGGCUCGGGGUCCUUCAGGGCCUGAAGGUUUGUGGUUGGCACUGUCAGGAUGAUGUUGUCCGUGGCCAGCUCUCCCCAGGGAGCCAGGUUCUCCUGCAUCUGCCUCUUCCACUCCUCCAGCGAUGUCUUACCUGGGAAUAAAUAUCAUGGAACCUACCACACCCACUUCUCCAACUUCCCUUGAGCUGAAAAAUACCAUUUGAACUCUGGAAGAACAUUGCAAUAAUGAACUACUAUCACAGGCGUCUAUAGGCUGUAAAGUGAAGAAAAGGCUUCCUGACUCUUCUCUUUGUCUGCCCUGAAGUCUCCAUGGACACAGGGUAUUCCGUAUCUUCUGCCUCCAUGUUCCCUCCCAACAGUUCUUCCUCUUUCUCUCCACCAAAGCUCAUCCCUCUCCCAUUUAGCAACCACCCCACAGUUCCCACGGCAUCUGCCACUCUUCCUCCUCCCUAAAUGUUCACUCCACUUACCCAGCUUGUAGUAUGGGGCAGGCACAGCUCCCCUGAUAGUGACAGGCACAGGGCCUAGUUGGCUGCCCUUGGGCACGAUGACGUAGAGGAGGCCGCCCCAGAGGCAGGAGACUGACCGCUCAGUCCUGUCCAUCCAGCAUUGGUGAGUCACCACGGGGGCUCGAGAUAGCUUCCUGGCCUUGGUAAGGUCAUCGGUGUGGCAGCCAAUCUGUACCUGGACAGGUGAUUCCACCAAGCGUUGGAGAAAUUAGAGUCUUUGUGAUGCUUUGUGAUGUGCGUGUGAGGUUGUGUAGAUGGAAGGUAUUAGACAAACAUGCCCAUGAAACCCCAGCUUCCCUUUUCUAUGUGCUAGGCAUGGAAACUUAUGAAAUUUUAGCACUCCAAAGUCAUUUGGACUUCAAGGCAUUUAAAAUCAUUUUUCUAAGGAUUUAAACAGCUCCACUAUAAGUCUUCACCUGACAUGAAUUGGUGAGAGACCAGGCUGAUCCUGGCAAAGGUCUUGUGUCUUUCUGCCAGGCAAAAUCCUGGGUUCUUCUAGCAGGACCUAAGCCAGUCUGGGGACGCUGAUAUUGAGGAUGAGCUGGGGGACUCUGCUCUGUCCUCUGUGAACACACAGGAGGCCCAUCCAGAGUGAGUGAGGUUGAUUCUCUCUCCCUCUUUGCCCAGAGCUUCCCUUUCUGGCCGCCAGAUGGGUGGAGAUCUGUUUUGUCUGGAGUCCUGGAGUUGCUUUUCUUAGGUUUGAUAUAAGCAAGCUCCAGAAAGAAUGCUGACAGAAAAGGGACCCUAGCUGUGGUAGGAAGUGGCCCUCAGAGUCAAGGAGGCAGGAUGAAUUUAAAUUCUGCAUGUAGGGCAUAUUUUGGGGAGUGAUGGGAUUAUGCACACCCUUCAGGUGUCAAGAUAAAGAGAUAAAACCAGAGUUUGUGCAGAAUGAGCUUGCUGACACACAGCCUAAAUUUGUACCGCAUGUUUCAUACUAACUCCCUCUGAGUUUGCACAUGGGACCCAUGAGGAGGCAUGAAGAGGUAACUGCCCAUGCCCGAGGAUUUUCCAGCCCUUCCUUUUCUUUCUAUCAAUCACCUACUAAUCACAGAAUCCACUCCCUACACCUUUUCUACUAAAAUAACUCUUUAAAAUAAGUACAAUGGGACAGAUUUGAGCUGGGCUCCUGUCUCCUUGUUAAUCAAAUUGCAAUAAAAUGUUUUCUUUUGUU